rnacentral:tRNA from 2 species
GCCGGGGUGCCCGAGUGGCAAGGGGACCGGGCCGGAGCUGAGGUAAUGGAGCCGCGGCUCCAACCCGGCGAGGACCACCGAUCCUCUCGCGGGUUCAAAUCCCGCCCCCGGCA